AGCUAUUUAGUUUAAUAAAAAACCACUGUCUUGUAAACAUUAAAUAAAACUUAAAAAUUUUAAUAGCUU
rnacentral:tRNA from 1 species